CACGGGGGGAACGCGAAGAACCUUACCUACCCUUGACAUGCCAGGGACCCCGGUGAGAGCCGGGGGUGCCCGAAAGGGAGCCUGGACACAGGUGCUGCAUGGCUGUCGUCAGCUCGUGUCGUGAGAUGUUGGGUUAAGUCCCGCAACGAGCGCAACCCUUGUCACUAGUUGCUACGCAAGGGCACUCUAGUGAGACUGCCGGUGACAAACCGGAGGAAGGUGGGGAUGACGUCAAGUCCUCAUGGCCCUUAUGGGUAGGGCUUCACACGUCAUACAAUGGCGCAUACAGAGGGUAGCCAACCCGCGAGGGGGAGCCAAUCUCAGAAAGUGCGUCGUAGUCCGGAUUGCAGUCUGCAACUCGACUGCAUGAAGUCGGAAUCGCUAGUAAUCGCGGAUCAGCAAUGUCGCGGUGAAUACGUUCCCGGGUCUUGUACACACGC
rnacentral:rRNA from 1 species